rnacentral:lncRNA from 1 species
UCAUCAUCAAAAAAAAUAAGUAGGUAAUUAUAAGUAUAUAGCAAGAAAAAUCUAUCAGCACCCAUCAGCUUUAACACAUCUUAUGGGAAUAAAAAAAAUAGAUCAUAGCAAAUCUAUGAAGCCAUUCCCUUCAAUAUUCAUCCAGUCUAGAUUAUCAUCAGAAAAAAUAAGGAGGCAACCAUGAGAAUAUAGCAAGCAA